rnacentral:rRNA from 1 species
GAGGAAAGAGGGAGGCGGGAGGAACACAGGAAAGUCGAACGGAAAGGCCCUGCUUUUGUGGGGUGCUCGAGUGGCGAACGGGUGAGUAACACGUGAGUAACCUGCACUUGACUUUGGGAUAACUUCAGGAAACUGGGGCUAAUACCGGAUAGGAGCUCCUGCUGCAUGGUGGGGGUUGGAAAGUUUCGGCGGUUGGGGAUGGACUCGCGGCUUAUCAGCUUGUUGGUGGGGUAGUGGCUUACCAAGGCUUUGACGGGUAGCCGGCCUGAGAGGGUGACCGGCCACAUUGGGACUGAGAUACGGCCCAGACUCCUACGGGAGGCAGCAGUGGGGAAUAUUGCACAAUGGGCGGAAGCCUGAUGCAGCAACGCCGCGUGCGGGAUAACCGCCUUCGGGUUGUAAACCGCUUUCGCCUGUGACGAAGCGUGAGUGACGGUAAUGGGUAAAGAAGCACCGGCUAACUACGUC